ensembl:lincRNA
AAAAAAUCAUUUCAUCUUAGACAAGGAAAAUGUAUUACAAGUGGGAGCAUUCUAAAUCCUUAGGUUUCAUGAGUAUUCCAUUUUUCUUGUUAAUAGACAGCUGUGCUUUUUAUGAACUUCUAAGAGUUGACCAACUUUAGUCAGAGUUGGAGUUAUUAAAGGCUGAGGACAGAAGACAUAGACUCUCUCCAAAGUGGGCAUUUGCAGUGUGGAAUUACAGAAAAGAGAAGAAAAAGCCAUUAUAGGGGGAAAAUAACGAGAAAAAGAGAGAGCAACCAGGAGAAGAUAUUGAAAAAGCACUGAAGCUCAAGCACAGAUUUACUAGGUCAGAAGGAAACUACUUGCUCAAAAGGAGACCAGAGGAAUGAAAAUGUGGUAUAACCAGGAGUUGCGAAGUGGACGUAGUUGUUCCUGUCUCAAUCUAGAUCAUCUUUGCUUUUUGCUUCUGCUUUGUGCUAUCCCUCUUCCUGUACCUCAAUUCUAGCUGGUCCUGUGGGAAAGCAGACACAGCUCACUAGACUCAAAAUGAACUAUACUAGGCAUGAGAUUAAAAAAAAAAUCAUUCACAAGAAUUUUUCUCAGAGAGAAAACUCCAUCUUUGAUCAUGAGAAUGAGUUGAGGUGAAAUGUAAGAACUUCCACAGAUGGCUUCAAAGAGAGAGACAGACAGAGAGAGAGAGAAAGAAAGUUCUUCUACAAAAGGGAAGAAGAAUAUGAGAUUCCAAAGGGUGAGUGAGGGGCAGUGGAUAUAUAAGUGAAAGACAACAGGAAUCAGAAAGGUAGAGGAAUAUUGGGGAAAUGGUAGAGAAAUAGGACUUAGGAGCAGCAGCAAAGAAAGUUCAUAGAAUUGUCCAAAAAGGGAUUUUUAAGUUGUGUGCUAAAACUGACCCCUAUCCUCAUUCCACUACAAAAUCUAAAAUAAAUUCUACAUUCC